rnacentral:rRNA from 1 species
AGAGUUUGAUCCUGGCUCAGGAUGAACGCCGGCGGUGUGCCUAAUACAUGCAAGUCGUACGCACUGGCCCAACUGAUUGAUGGUGCUUGCACCUGAUUGACGAUGGAUCACCAGUGAGUGGCGGACGGGUGAGUAACACGUAGGUAACCUGCCUCGGAGCGGGGGAUAACAUUUGGAAACAGAUGCUAAUACCGCAUAACAACAAAAGCCACAUGGCUUUUGUUUGAAAGAUGGCUUUGGCUAUCACUCUGGGAUGGACCAGCGGUACAUUAGCUAGUUGGUAAGGUAACGGCUUACCAAGGCAAUGAUGCAUAGCCGAGUUGAGAGACUGAUCGGCCACAAUGGAACUGAGACACGGUCCAUACUCCUACGGGAGGCAGCAGUAGGGAAUCUUCCACAAUGGGCGCAAGCCUGAUGGAGCAACACCGCGUGAGUGAAGAAGGGUUUCGGCUCGUAAAGCUCUGUUGUUGGAGAAGAACGUGCGUGAGAGUAACUGUCCACGCAGUGACGGUAUCCAACCAGAAAGUCACGGCUAACUACGUGCCAGCAGCCGCGGUAAUACGUAGGUGGCAAGCGUUAUCCGGAUUUAUUGGGCGUAAAGCGAGCGCAGGCGGUUGCUUAGGUCUGAUGUGAAAGCCUUCGGCUUAACCGAAGAAGUGCAUCGGAAACCGGGCGACUUGAGUGCAGAAGAGGACAGUGGAACUCCAUGUGUAGCGGUGGAAUGCGUAGAUAUAUGGAAGAACACCAGUGGCGAAGGCGGCUGUCUGGUCUGCAACUGACGCUGAGGCUCGAAAGCAUGGGUAGCGAACAGGAUUAGAUACCCUGGUAGUCCAUGCCGUAAACGAUGAGUGCUAGGUGUUGGAGGGUUUCCGCCCUUCAGUGCCGGAGCUAACGCAUUAAGCACUCCGCCUGGGGAGUACGACCGCAAGGUUGAAACUCAAAGGAAUUGACGGGGGCCCGCACAAGCGGUGGAGCAUGUGGUUUAAUUCGAAGCUACGCGGAGAACCUUACCAGGUCUUGACAUCUUGCGCUAACCUUAGAGAUAAGGCGUUCCCUUCGGGGACGCAAUGACAGGUGGUGCAUGGUCGUCGUCAGCUCGUGUCGUGAGAUGUUGGGUUAAGUCCCGCAACGAGCGCAACCCUUGUUACUAGUUGCCAGCAUUAAGUUGGGCACUCUAGUGAGACUGCCGGUGACAAACCGGAGGAAGGUGGGGACGACGUCAGAUCAUCAUGCCCCUUAUGACCUGGGCUACACACGUGCUACAAUGGACGGUACAACGAGUCGCAAGCUCGCGAGAGUAAGCUAAUCUCUUAAAGCCGUUCUCAGUUCGGACUGUAGGCUGCAACUCGCCUACACGAAGUCGGAAUCGCUAGUAAUCGCGGAUCAGCAUGCCGCGGUGAAUACGUUCCCGGGCCUUGCACUCACCGCCCGUCA